UACGGGGGGGGCAAGCGUUGUUCGGAAUUAUUGGGCGUAAAGAGCUCGUAGGCGGCUUGUCACGUCGGGUGUGAAAGCCCGGGGCUUAACCCCGGGUCUGCAUUCGAUACGGGCUAGCUAGAGUGUGGUAGGGGAGAUCGGAAUUCCUGGUGUAGCGGUGAAAUGCGCAGAUAUCAGGAGGAACACCGGUGGCGAAGGCGGGUCUCUGGGCCGAUACUGACGCUGAGGAGCGAAAGCGUGGGGAGCGAACAGG
rnacentral:rRNA from 1 species